CAGCAACGCGUAUGUUCGCUGGAAGCGGAAAUCACCGUUUAAAUAGUUGAAAAAAUUAAAACGAAACCAAAAAAAAUUAAAAAUAAUGUAUAUAUUACACGAAUAGUUUUAAUGUGAGAAACGGGUGUUAAAAAUUCUUUUUUGCUGGUAUUAUUACCUUGCGUCGUUUAGCGUUGCGUUCCCCCUUCUCCGUAGCGCACUGAUAAAAAAAUUUAUUGGCAGCUUUUCGGCGAUUUGUGGCGCUUUGUUUACGGCUCUUACAGUGCUCACACUAUAAUCAAUCUAUAACCUCGCGACUAAAAGUUGAAAUUGCUAUAGACGCUUGUGCAGUGCGGCUGGAUCUGCGUGUGUGAAAAUCGAUACCGGUGAUUUAUUGAGUAAUCAAAAGUGCAUAUGUGAUAAGCGGCUACAUAAAAAAUCAAUCUUUAAAAAUUUUCAAAAAUAAAUCUAAAUACGAAAAUUUCAUAAAAAUAGAAAGAAAGCUCAAAGAGAGUGUUUGGAUAAUUCGGUAAUAAGUGUAAAAAUAUAACAGGCAUAUGUUGCAAUAUAUAUGAGUAUACAUAUGCGCCUAUAACUGGCAUAACGAAUACAACUAAUAAUCUACAUACCCAUGGAUGGUACAUACACACACCUAAAGAUGCUCAUUUUUACAUAAGCGGAUUGCAUUAGUUGCUCCGGCAACCUAAUCGGUUUUGAAAACAGCUGUUGCAGUUACCGCUGCGCCGUUACAGUUACGCGACACACCAAAUUAAUAAAUGCAAGUAUAUGGGUGAGUAAAUGUGUGUUUGUAGAUGGAACCUUUCGGCUCUAACAAACGCGACAACACACUUGUGUUUGCUCUGUCGCUCAACGUCAUCAUAUCCUUCUCGCUAGCCAUAAGCUCCUGCCAAGCGUUCGCACAACGCAAAGCAACUCUCAAACUCUCCAAUAAUAUUAUUAUCUUCAUUCUGCGCUUAAUCGUCAGUUUGCUCACUCUUCGACGCACAAUGACAAAACGGUAUGAAAUUUGCGCAAACAAUCUUCAAUUGAUAUGAGAGAAGCAUCUAAAGACAUUAACAAAAGACGUACGACAUAUGAAUUAGGUCUACGACGCUUCCUUCUGGGUGUUACAAACCUCGUGGCAAAUUUAAUAUACCCUGUUUAGGGUAUACAAAGCAAGAGGAGAAGAAAAGUAGACUCCCUGCAAGUCUCUGCGUGUAAAAGAGACACUUGUAGAAAGUGUGAAAAGAGAGAGU